CAUCAUUUUUUUAUAUUCUGCUUUAUUAGGUGAUUUAAAUUGGUCGUCUUACUUGAUUUGGUCAAUCUAACUGCAGGCAUAGAUGGCAUAAUUGUGAGUUUUCACCUGCAACGGUGCUGGAAUAUACAGUUGAUGGUGCUCCUUUGUGUUCUGAAUUUUCUCUUUUUCUUUCCUUUUUUAAUUCACCUUUACGGUUGUACCUGUUUAACGGUUUUUGUCAUUUCUUUUGCAAACAUUGAAAUUUGUUUGGUGUAGCUUCAGAAUAACUCUUAAAUUCACUGUUCUUGACAUCUUAGUAAUCAUUUAUGGUUUUUUUUUUUUUUUCUUUAUCUUGAUGGUUUUGCAAGUUAAUGGAGAUAAUUGAGGCAUUGGCAUGAGCAUGUGCCAGAAAAGAUUGCCCUUCUCUGGUUAGGAAUCGCAAUGGGGCGUGUUAGGCCUUUUCUAUCCCCGCCUUGAUCGCGGGUACGGGUAGAAAAGANNNUGAGUCGGAUAAUAUUACUAUAUUUAUUAUGUUUUUUUUUGUUAAAAAUAGAUUUUUUAUUAUUUUUUAUAUAUAUUUAUUGAAUAUUUUAACUAUUAUUAAGUAAAUUGAAGAAAUAAAGUUUAUAUUUCAGUAAUAUUUAAUAUAUUGUAUAAAAUAUAUUUAUUUAGUUAUAUUUUAUAAAAGAAUUAUAUAAAAGUAUUUCGGAUAUAGUUUGGUACGAGUACGGAGCGUAUUGUCAUAAACUUGUCUCCGGCUUGUCAUUAGUAGCUUCCCAGGUAUUUUCCAUUCCAAUUAGAUCGGGUUAUGCGCGUGUAUUUUUCAUUCCGCUGUAGAUUGAGUUACGAGUUUAUUUCCGGGUGCGGAUUGAGUUAUGAGUUUAUUUCCGGGUACGGAAUAAAUUGUAUCUCUAUCUCUGGUUUGCAAUUGCAUUAUCAAAUUCACGCUUUGGAGUUCUUUGUUAAGGGGAAAAAAUUAAUGUGUUUUUUUGAUCCAUUUGCUCUCAUGUAACAUUAAAAUGCACAAUGGAAACAAUAAACUAAUCUAUUCUUAAAAAUCUUUGUAACUAUUAAUUAUCAAGAAGAAUAUUUAGAAAAGAUCAAGACUAUUUUUAUUAUUUUAAAAAGAUAUUACUACUAAUUGUUAUUUGUUAAUAAAAAUUAUUAAUUAUUUUACUUUUUUAGUAUUUUUAAGUAAAUAUACUUUUUUUGGGUAUAAUAUAUACCUAAAACUGAAUCAAUAAUCUAAAUCAGUAAUGUGGCUUCAAUUUGUUAUGGAAUUUAUAAAUAUAAUAAGAUAAUUAUUUAUAAAAAUAAUAAAAAAAAUAUAUUUUAUUAAUUUAUUAUAAUCACAAAGUGUUUAGCCGAAUAUUAAUUAUUUAAAAGAUGCUCAGUUAUCAAAGAUUUAUUUCAUAUUAAUAUUUAUAAUACAGAAAAAUAAUAAAUGCUAAAAAAAGAAAAUAUAUACUACUCGUUCAGCGCCACAUGAUUUUUUUUUUUCAAAAAACACUACCCUAAUCUUUAAUUCCUUCACAGAAAUUUAAAUUAUAUGUAUGAUAUUUCNNNUAUGUAUGAUAAUUUCUUUUAAUGAAAUGAUAAUUUGUUUUAUAAUCUGUAUAAAUAUUAUAAUUUAUAAUGAAUGGGUUGUUAAGUGAAACAAAAUUAGUGAUAUCCGCUAAUAGAGUAGGCUGAUGGAUUGGAGAUUUCUGUAUGCAUUAAUCUUCCUGCAGCACAUGUAACAAAGAUGUUAAAUAUUUUCAUAUUAAGUAACACAAUUUAUAAUAUUUAUUUGUAUAUAACAUACAUAUAGUUUAGUUAGAUCAUAAUAAAGUUAAAAAGGAAAAGAAACAGAAGGUAUUUAUCCUGCAGGGUGAUCUAUUUAAUAUCAAAUACAAUUGCAGGCCCACUGAUUGCUAUAACAAUUCAGAGCUUGUCAACGACAUGAUUCAUUCGAUGAUUAAUACCUGCCACAAAUUAUUUUUCAAGUCUUUUGUAUGGUACGGUAGUAAUAAUACAUAAUAAUUAAUACAAGGAAAUGACAGUGAGCUACUUAAUUCAGCAAAUUACAAUUGAAUUGGCCAUUUGAUAUGGUAAUCUUCUCUGCUUUAGUGACAGCAUCUAAAGGAAGAGGGAUGUAACUUCCAGAGGGGCCAUAAAAAUGAGGGAAGCUGUUGAUACCAUCCACAACUUCAUAUACUAAUCCAUCUCCAAGCUGCAAGAUAGAAGCACAGUUAAAAUGGAGCUCAUGUUUCAGCAGGGAACUCCAAUAAUGAUACUUCAGGGAUUGAUCAAGGUAUGAACUCCAAACCCCAACAAGGUGACUUUUUACUAGUUCGGCACUCCAUAAUUAUAUUAACUAAUGGAAAAUGUACAUUGAUCAGCAGUAAAAUAUGCAAGUAUGACUUAGAAGACAACAGUAAGUUUUGCACAAAAUCCCUCCAUGCAUUCAGCAAAAACCAGAUUUCACUACCAUUUCAGUCAGCACCUUCAAGUUGCAAAUAGCUCACACCGUGCAAGAGUUCUUUGGUAUGUCUGGAAGUAGGCUUCAAGGAAAAAUUCGCUACUUACACCAUUAAACGUAUUCGUAGUUAUAAACACACGUAUAUUUCAGAUUCAACAAUAUAUUCCUUUCUCUUUCAAGCAUCAAGGAAGAAACACUUUGGUAAUUAUAUAUAGCAAACUCCUAGUACACAAGAAGAGAAUUAUAAGGUGUCCAAAGCAUGAGUUUAAGGCAUAGAAAUAUGAUUAAAGUUUUGAUAGAAAAGUUUAUCCAUUUACUGCCUUCAUUAGAAAAAAGCAAAAAACCAAAUUACUGAUAUGGCUCAAGUGGCAGCAGCAGUAAAUUAAGAAUAAAUAUCUUCACAUAGAGCUAAUGGUCUAUAUUAAUGCAGAGAAUGAAAUGUCCAGAAGAUGUGUGUAAUUCAAAUCUCAAAUUAACAGUAAUUAUAAGAGCUUUUGUGCAUUUUAAUUCUUGUAAGUUCUCAAAUGAUGUACUCCCAUGGUUGCAACUUUAAAAUGAAUUUGAAACCAUAAGAUUUAUACCUUCUUAGCAUCAACUUGAAGCAGAUACAAUUCCAAAGUAGUGUUCAAGAAGAAGUUCUGCAGUGUUGACCUCACCUGCAAAACAAAAUGCCAAUAAUUGCUCUUAGGCCAUUUUACCUUGGAAUGGGAAUAAAAAAGGAUGUCUAAUACCAGGAAUCCUAUUCGAAAGUUAUUUUGAGAUGACAAAUUAAAUUUUGCAGGUAUUAGAAUAAAUUGUACAUAAAAAUAGAUAUCAUUUUCACUAAGAAAUCCAAACAUUUCAAACAUAAUGAUACCAUGAAAAGUUUAGAUUCCUCGAGUGCCAAAAAGAAACUUGGAAUCCCAUUCCAAGGAUUGAUCUUAGUUCAACCCAUUUGUUAGGAAGUACGAGUUUAGGGACAACGUCGAUAUCUUUAAAUAAAAAUGCCCAUAUGGAGAAGGGACACCUGCACACAGUCUAGAAUUUUAACAAGCACAAUAACUACACUUCGCUUUCAUCACUAUAACCCCAUCUUUCCAAUCCAAUUUAGCACAGUAUUAUCGUAAUUGAAGCGAAAUCCUAAAAUUAAAAAGUAUAAGCAUAAUGUAUUUCUUAUUUGAGUUAUUGAACAAAUUGAAGUGCAAGCCAAGAACAGAGAAAUAGAUAGGGACCUGAUCGAGCUUGCUGAGGUGGAUGAAGCCGGAAGAUUUGUCAAGAUCGCCACCAAAAAUAGAUCCAUCCUUCUGCAAUUCUUCCCACUCCUUAGCAGUGCUAAUCCUGUACACGUACUCCUCGCUUUCGCUUGCGGUCGCUUCCUCUUUUGCAGCCAUGUCUUAGGCCAGAGGUCAGCGCCACUGCUCGCUGCGGGCUACAACCCGGAAAUAAAUAAAUUUCAGGACGCAACCCGCAAAAGUUUAAUUAAUAAAAUGUGCAUAUAUAGACUUAGAUAAUUUGUUAAUCAGAGAGGAUAUAUUGGGACAAGUACCGCACACUUCCAACAAUAUUCAUUUAUUGUUUGAUACAUUAUAAGAUUAUUUUUAUUGUUUUUGUCAUUUGUAUUUAUAGAACUUAAUUUCGUUUUUUUAAUAUCUCAAAUUAUUAGAAUUUUCAAAUAAUAAAUAUUUAAAUGCCGAAUGGAAUUAGUUAUAUAUGAUGAGGAUUUUAGACUUAAUUAUAAAAAUUAUUAUGAAAUGUAUGUAUUUAAGUUAUUUUAAAAUAUUUUAUAAAAGAUAUUUAAUAAAAAUUAUAUAAUAAAUAAAUAUUGAAAGAAUAUAUAAUAUAAAUAUUCUAUAUCAUGACUAAUUAUAUUUUAUUUAAUAAUUAUGUUAGGAUAUGCGAUAAGAAUUUAAAAUUUAUUAAUUAUGAUUGGUACUUUUUUUUUUGAUUUAAAAUUUUUAUGAGAUAUUAAUUUUAUUUUAUUUUUAUUUUAAAUUUCUUUAUUCAAUUAUUGAAAUAGUAAUAUUUUUAGAAUAUUGAUAUUUUAUUUGAUUUGAUUAUUUUAUUUAUUUAAAUAAUAUUAUUUUUAAAUAAAUUUACUUAAUUAAUAUUUAAUAAAUAAUACUAUUUUCAUUAAAAUUAGUUAAUAAUAACUUAUUUUACAUUAAUUUCGUAUAAUUAAUUUUUUAAUAAUCAUAGAUAAUUGUUAUUUUGAAAUUAUGCUUAAUAAGUAAAUCAAAGCACGAGAUUCCAUCCACGCCUGUCACCUGAAAAGGUUCUCUUCUCUCUAACAGAAACCGACGUUGUUUGCAAGGAGAAGGCAUUAGCUAAUAGCUCCUUUUGCAGAGAAAAAACACAAAGUCAUUUUCUAUUAUAGUAAAAAUGGCCGCUACUGCGAAACUGGGCUUGCUCACUCCUCUUCAUUCUAAUAACAUCAAGAAAGAAUUCCCUGUUUUUUAUUUCAGUUUGUUUUGUCCAGAGCUUAGACAUUCUCGGUUUUCUCACUUUAACACCGCGGUCAAGCGCGUAAGAUAUGCCCCCGUCGUUCCUGUGAUUAAUGCCCAAAGCUCCCCUGGUUGGUAUAUAUGGCGCUUCGUUUUUUCAUUUCUUUCUUUCUUGGCAUUUAAUUCAUGGGUCUGGGUCUUUUAAUGUCAUGCAAAUCUAGUGAUUUAUUAGCUUUCCGAAUUCUUAUUCCUUUCUCUACUUAAUUUUUCGUAGACUACAUUCCUGAUGCUAAAUUCUACAAAGUAGAAGCAAUUCUCAGGUGCUGCCACUGGCCAAUUGUUAUUUUUUGAAUUUAUUCUUUUCCCCCAUUGUGUACACACGACUCAUUAAUUCUAUCUUUUUUCUUUUCCCUUUAUCUGUGCAUUGUGUUGUUGGAUUCGGGUACGUAAUAGGCCCUGGCGAGUCUCGCACGUUUCUUCGGUAAGUGUUCAGUACUGCAAAAAAUAGUUUCUAAAUUUACAAAGAAGACUACUAGUUUUGUCUCCUCAUUUUCGUAAUUGGUGGAAAUGGUUUGGAUUGGUUUUAAUACUAUCUUUGUCUCCUUUUAUGUUUCAAGAGGGGAUGAGGGAAAUUGUGGCUUGUUUAGGUAACUCAGAGGUGUGAUGUGUGUCAUUUCUUCAUCAAUGCGUCUUUGGUCAUUAUGAGAACCAUCACUCCACAGAAAUGCCUAAACUGUGUGAUAGUUUAGGUUGUCAAUAAAUAUCAAAUAAUCAGCUCGUCUUAUCUAAUUAUGCUCCUUAAUUUUCUGAUUUAGACGGAUUGAGAUUGUUAAUGCAUUGCAGAACCCUUUUUUGAUUGAUAAUACUUAUUAGGUGGUUAAUCAAGCGCCUUCAUAUUUCAUAUUCAUGCGCAUAUAUAAAUGUGUAUAUGUGUAUAUGGACAGUGACUUUCCACUGCUUGAAACUAAUUUUAGUCAAUAGUUCAGCUCUUUUGACACCCCUAAAAUACAAGGAUGGCUAUGCAUUCUUUUUCCUGGUCAAGGUCCAACCUCCAUUUUUUUUUCCUGUUCUAUCAGUGGUUUGUUUCAUUUAAUCAUCCUUUGACUUCUAUAUAUAUGCACACUUACUUGCUAAGGCCAUCAUAUUUUCUAAAGUCGCUUGGCGGAAGUACUAAUUUUUAUUUCUGUUAUUAUAAAUGAAGGCUUUGCUAAAAAUUGGUAUUCGAGGUGUUACUGUUUCUGAUGUUCGAGGUUUUGGUGCUCAAGGUGGUUCAACUGAGAGGCAGGGCGGUAAGCUCUUCACUUGGAUAACCGUCAAACUCUUGGGAAAUCGAUGACUUGAUUAUAAUAUGUGAAAACAUGAUGACUAAAUUUACAAUCUGUAUCAGGAAUUGCAUUUCUUUGUUUAACCAUUUGUUUCUGUUGCAGUACUCUUUUCUUUAAAAAAAAUCAGAAUAAAUUGAUUAAUUUUAGCAUGAUUCCUUAGUUAUUAUUGCUUAUGAUAAUGCAGGCUCAGAAUUUUCUGAAGACAAGUUUGUUGCUAAAGUUAAGAUGGAGAUCGUGGUUAGCAAAGACCAGGUAUGCAUGGUGAUUUGUCUAAGUGGUAACCCUGUGGUAACACAAGUACUAACAUUUGAAAUAAUGUUUUUUUAUUAUGAAGAAAUUGAUUAUCAUACUGACGCAUGUAAAAUAUAUGUUUAUUAUAUUUUCAAAGAUGCAACAUUUCCCUUGCCAAAUUCUUACUUAUUAAAUGCUUUACAUUUUCUUAGAUUGAGGAUGUUAUAGAAAAAAUCAUUGAGGAGGCAAGGACUGGAGAGAUUGGAGACGGCAAGAUUUUCUGUAAGAUUAAACUUCUUUCUAUCUUUCAUUAGUUUUAGUAGUGGAUUACAUAAACAUUUUUCAGAGACUUUCUGCCUAACUAUUUAAUAGUGCCUUUUGUUUUUGGGAUUUAGUAGCAGCAGUUUUUGCUAUUUUACGGGGUCAAAUUUAGUGAUUUACCAUAGUGCUUUGGAGGCUUGCAGCUUCAGAUAGUUGAUUUGAAUUAUAACUUUUACAUAAGAACAAAAACUUUUUUUUUGCUUGGGUUUCCUCUUAGGCCUCUCUUCCAUUAUGAUUGAAUGUGUGCUUGCAAUGUACAUGCGCACUAGUGUGCCAGAGAUCUUGCUGUCAUGAAUAACUAUGAUAUUAAUGGUGCUAACCUCAAUAGCUUGUGAGGAAUUCUGUAUUGUCCAUGCAGGUUUGAAUGUGUUGCAGUGGAAUAUAUAACCUGACUAUUUAUUGUUUAUGCACUCUAGCUGUAACAUCUUUGAGUUGGUGGUAUAUUGUGCCAUCAAUCAAGAGCAAAAAGCUAAAUGAUCAUGAUACAUUAUGCAGUAACGGCACCAGUGGGUGCAUAUCAAUCUAGCAAGUGUAGACAGCUUGGUGUUUUGAGUUAUUAGAAAGUGUAAGGUAUAUCAUCAAGCUUCUAAUGGCUUUUUAUUUGCUCCUGCAGUGCUGCCUGUUUCAGAUGUAAUAAGAGUCCGCACUGGUAAAUACAUUUGCUUUUAUCAACCAAGGGUUUUUUUUUUUUUCCCAUAGCUGGAAUUUUGAAGGCCUCUACCUGUUAUUGAGAUGAACAAAGGCACCUUAUCUAAGCAAACCUUCUGUGCGAUAUUCAGGUGAGCGCGGCGAUAAGGCUGAGAGGAUGACAGGAGGGCGAUCUGACAUGAGUACUUCUGCUUGACUUCUUUGGCCAGCAGUAUAGCAUUUGAGACCAACUGUCCUUUGAGAAAGCCCCGCCCUUAUCAGCCAUUAUCCAGUAUAGCUUGAUAAUUUGAUAUUUUAUUUUCGUAACUAAGAAAGAAAGAUCUUUUCAUUAUCCUGUUGAUGAUAAUUGAAAAAGAAAGGAUCGCAGAUUUGUUCAAGUGCUUGCAAGAUAAAUAACAAGAAGAGGAGUAAUAAUGUUAACAACUACGUUGCUCUCUUAUUAUAACUAUUGAAUGAAUCGGCGGUCUAUUUGGUUAAAUGAAUUAAUCUGGCAGAAUGUUUGUUAAGGAUUACAUUUGAUUUGGCUUACAGUAACAUGUUGUGGUGUGGAUUCUGAAAAUAAAUUCAUUUUGUAUGCAUGAGUGGCUCCUUGCAAAGCUGUCUGAUAUUGUACCAACAUAGCAUGUUCUCAAACCCUGUACCUAGCAUUGAUGGUCCUUUUGGUGUCCCUGGGUCAGGAGUGUUUGUUACAUGAGUUUAAGAGUUUAACAACUUGUAAUUUCUUUAUUUGACUUUUAAAAUUAAUUUCAUAAAAUUAAUAAAUUCUUAAAUUGCAAUUUGACGGUAAAACAAUAAAAUUAACAAUUGUUGGACUAUAAUAUCAUGUUAUGAUAUACAAGUAACAUGAAAAUGGUAAUUAAUCAUAGAGAAAUGAUUAAAUUUUAACAAAUUAAAAACUUUUUCACUGUAAGAUAUUCUUUUUUUUUUUAAGAUGCAUAGGGGUUUUUCUAUUUUAGGGUUCUUGAAAAAAGUAUUUCUUAUUUUAGGGUUAAAUUUUGGCAAAUUCCAACUUCAGAGUAGUCAAACUUAAAACCAAAAGAAAAUUUUAUUUGUCCGCUGGUGAGACUAGCGGACAGAAAUUGAAGAAUUGUGUCCGCCUAAUGCAGAGGCGGACACCAAUGCAAUCCUAUUUCAACUCCAUUCAAGCCACUUAGGCAUAAUGAUGGUUAUCUUCUUCUCUCCUUCAAUUACCACUAUCAUUGUUUCAAUAUUAGCACUGCAAAUGGGUAUUGAGAGAACGAUGGUGGUACAAUAUAGUGCCGCCAUUGUAAAUUUGUUGAUUCUCAAAAAUUUAUAAAUAAAAGUACAUCUUAAUAAAAAAAUAUAAACUUAGAGAUAUAAAAUAGUAAAAUUAUAUGACAUCUUUUUGUAUUUAUUAAAUCUUUAAAUAUCUGAGUUUUAUUAUUAAAUUUAAUAUAUUUAAAAUUACCAAUUAUGUGGGAUAAUAAAUUGAGCACAAAUAAAUGUAAUUAGUUUCAAUUGGUAGUUAUAAUAUUUUGAAAUGAAAUUUUGAAUUCAGUCGAAGUUUUACUUGGAAAAAAGAUUCAAGCAGCUAAACUUUUAAUUCAAUGAAUUAAAAGAAAAAAUAGUAGAAUCUGACUGGGGUGGGCAGUCGCAAAAAUUGAAGUCAAUAAAUGCAUCUUUAAUCUUGAUUAGUGUUUUCUUCGGAAAUAAUAACCACAUCUCGAGAUCAGGAUGUCCCUAUCCAUAAAUUAGAAACAGAUUUCCUCUUUUCCAAACAUAUUUCAGUCUCCAACCAAACCUGAGUCGUUAAUUGAUGCAGGCCAAAGCGUCCAUCAUAACGGCGUCAGUUAGAAUAAGCGAAGUUAUUUAGAAACAGAAAAAGAAAAAGAAAAAGAAGCUUAAAAAAUACGCUUAACCGAAAAUAAAAUAAAAAAGAAGGCGAUCUGAGGAAAAAAAAAAAAGUCCUAUAAAUACACAAUCUCUUCAUAAAACGAGUAAAUAUAAUAAAUACAGCGUCGACGACAUCUCUCUCUCAUUUUCAAAAUUUCCUCAUUUCUGUGGUGAAGAAGGUGCGUAGAUCCCUUCAUUUGCUCUCUCUUUGGCCGUUCCCUUAGGUAAACUCACUUCUCCUCUUCUUCGAUCCCUAAAUUCGUUCUCUUUUUUAUUUCAUUUCUUAAAAUUCGAUCUCUGUUUCGAUCUGAUCUCUUUCUCCAUAGGUGAAAUGGAGAUGCGCUUAAUUCAAUUAUUAAUUCUUUUGUUUGCCAUUUCGUCUGAUCUUAAGAUCUUGACAUUCGUUUAAGGUUUUGAUUUAUUACCGUUUGAAUCCCUGUCCUUUGCUUGCCUGAUUUAAAAUUGUUUUGUUCGUAUUUAUUAGAUUUCGAGAUCUGUAGGUUUUAUAUGUUUGAUUUGAUGCUUGAUCUACCAGUUAAUGAUGCCUAAUUCAAGUCCUAUUUUGAUGUUUCAAACAGAUUAGGUUCUUAUUUAUAACAAAGCCAUGUGAAUCCAUCUGUUUGUGUAUAUGAUUUCGAAUCUUAGCCGUCAGUUAUUUUAUUGGGAGUCUAAUUCGUGCUGUCAUUGUGAUCUUAUUUAUUUUUAAUUUUAUUGUGACAGUUUGUUUUCUUGCUGAUGGAUCAUGAGAUCUUUACAUUUUGAAUUUAUUAGUUGUAAAAAAUUGAAGCAUUUGGCUUGGUUUCCUUUGAAAGCUUAUCAUUUUGGGAGGGAGUGAUGGGGUGUUUGAUGUAAUCUUAAAAUUUUCUUCAUUAGCAGGUGUGAAAAUAUGGGGCUGUCUUUCACCAAGUUGUUUAGCCGACUCUUUGCUAAGAAAGAGAUGCGUAUACUGAUGGUGGGUCUUGAUGCAGCUGGUAAGACCACCAUCCUCUACAAGCUCAAGCUUGGAGAGAUUGUCACCACUAUUCCCACCAUUGGUAAGUUUGUUACAAUGCUUAAUUAUGUAACCACUAUAUGGAAUAGGAUAAGCACAUCUUUUAUCAGUAAUUUUUUUUCUAACUGCGAGAUCUUUCAACAUGUUAACUUCUGGAUAUUCACCUUUGCAAUAUGUUCAUGACUUUUGUGUAGGUAUUUGUCACCAUUUGUUGAUAACUUGCAUAAAUGGUGGAUGCAUAAUUCUAAUUCCAUUUUUACUAGGACUAUAUCUGCUUGCAAUCAAUAAUAAUUUGAGUUUUGUUUCUCCAGCAUUGUUCUCUUUAGAUGUAAAUUGAUGUAUCUCAUGAACCAGGAUUUAAUGUGGAGACUGUGGAGUACAAGAACAUUAGCUUCACCGUGUGGGAUGUUGGUGGCCAGGACAAGGUAUGUAUAUAUUUGACACUUGGCACAGUUUCAGUUACUGUUGGAUGUUGUGCAGGUCUUUGAAAUUUGGAAAUGGUUUGUGGUUCUUCUCUUAAAUUGUGUAAGGCUCACUAAAUGUGAUUAUUCAGGAAGUCAGUGCUUAUGAAUGGUGCAGCGGUGAUUUCAUUUCAGUACUUAACAUAGUCAUAAGCUAUUCAUAUCUAAUCUGCUGUAUAAACCAUUUUUCCCCUUGAUUACUGAAGGCAAGACUUUAUGCAGUGGUUCGAGGACAAUUUAGUCUGCAAGUAUCUGCACCAUCUUUUGAAAUGAUAAUGUCACUGAUCAUAUCACAUUAAGCCUUUGUAUAUUUUGACUAUCUAACAUUGAAUACUUUUUAUGAAUGUCCUUAUUUUGUUUCGACCUACUUUGUGUUCUCUCAGAUCCGACCUUUGUGGAGACAUUACUUUCAAAACACACAAGGACUCAUCUUUGUGGUUGACAGCAAUGACAGAGACCGUGUGGUUGAAGCUAGGGAUGAGCUGCACAGGAUGUUGAAUGAGGUAUCGAAAAGCUUCACAUUCCACUGGAGGUGAUUUGUUACUUCUAUAUGGUUUUUCUUUGACCCUGUACUACUUGUCAAACUUGCAGGAUGAGUUGAGAGAUGCUGUGCUGCUUGUAUUUGCAAACAAGCAAGAUCUUCCAAAUGCAAUGAAUGCUGCAGAAAUAACUGAUAAGCUCGGCCUUCAUUCUCUCCGCCAGCGCCAUUGGUAAUAUGAAUGAGAACCCCAACCACCUCACUUUCCAACCAUCCACACUCCUGCCAUUAAACUGUGUUUGUGUUGCACUGCAGGUACAUCCAGAGCACAUGUGCCACUUCUGGUGAAGGGCUGUACGAGGGACUUGACUGGCUCUCAAACAAUAUUGCAAACAAGGUAGAAAUUUGAUGAUGAUGCAUCAUUUUUGUAUAUUCUGCUUUAUUAGGUGAUCUAAAUUGGUUGUCUUACUUGAUUUUGGUCAAUCUAACUGCAGGCAUAGAUGGCAUAAUUGUGAGUUUUCACCUGCAACGGUGCUGGAAUAUACAGUUGAUAGUGCUCAGUUGUGUUCUGAAUUUUCUUUUUUUUUUUUUUUUGUUUAAUUCACCUUUACGUUGUACCUGUUUAACGGUUUUUUGUCAUUUCUUUUGCAAACAUUGAAAUUUGUUUGGUGUAGCUUCAGAAUAACUCUUAAAUUUUCACUGUUGACAUCUUAGUAAUCAUUUUAUGGUUUUUGUUUCUUUAUUUGGAUGGUUUUGCAAGUUAAUGGAGAUAUUUGAGGCAUUGGCACGAGGAAGUGCAAAAAAAUUUUGUCCUUCUCUUGUUUGCAAUUGCAUUAUCAAAUUUACACUUUGAAGUUAUUU
rnacentral:lncRNA from 1 species